CCAGGCACGUCCGGUUCUGCGGCCCCCACUCCGCCCCCGCCUGCCGGGAGCCGCGCAGUUACAAAGUGCCGGGAGCCGUGCAGGGCCAGUGAACCCCUCGCUGAGACUCAGUUUGCUGCCAUCACAAGUGCUCUGAGAAUCCUGGAGAGGGAGGAUAUUGGAGACAAACGGGACUGCUGCCCGCCUUUUAGGCGACCGUUGGAGGCUGCUCUGUGCCGGACACAGGCAGGGAAAAUGUCAGCCCCGCGAGGGAAAUGGCAAAGGGAAGAUGACAGCAGACGAGAGAAACAACAGCCCCACCUGACACAGCCAGGACCCUGCGGAGAGGCGGCAGGAGCCCCCACUUCCUCGGGACUCAGCCUCUGCACCCCGGGACUGCCCAUGGCCCCUCUGAGGGCUCUCCUCACUCCUUCCUCCCUCAUUAGGGAAGAGGCCAGUACCCAGCAGCCAUGGCCCAAGCGCAGGUGGUCUGUUCUGUGCACCCAGCAUCCCCCUAGGGUCUAAACCAGCUCCCACAGCUCAGAAGUCAGCGGAGCAGAGUCCCCAGGAAACCAGGGUCAGGGAUGGAGGCUGCUGAGGAGCGGGUCUGGGAGGUGGAGGCCAGAUACAAGAAAACCACAGUACCAGUAAAUGACAAAGGCUGGAUCUUAACCCAAGUCCUCCGACUCUGAAGGCCAUACCCAACAGCUUGACAGCAAAGUGUUUGAAAACGAAGAGCAGGAAUUCCGCGGUUCCUGCCCGGCCUCGC
rnacentral:lncRNA from 1 species